rnacentral:rRNA from 1 species
GACGAACGCUGGCGGCGUGCUUAACACAUGCAAGUCGAGCGAUGAAGUUCCUUCGGGAAUGGAUUAGCGGCGGACGGGUGAGUAACACGUGGGUAACCUGCCUCAUAGAGGGGAAUAGCCUUCCGAAAGGAAGAUUAAUACCGCAUAAGAUUGUAGUACCGCAUGGUAUAGCAAUUAAAGGAGCAAUCCGCUAUGAGAUGGACCCGCGUCGCAUUAGCUAGUUGGUGAGGUAACGGCUCACCAAGGCGACGAUGCGUAGCCGACCUGAGAGGGUGAUCGGCCACAUUGGGACUGAGACACGGCCCAGACUCCUACGGGAGGCAGCAGUGGGGAAUAUUGCACAAUGGGGGAAACCCUGAUGCAGCAACGCCGCGUGAGUGAUGACGGUCUUCGGAUUGUAAAACUCUGUCUUCAGGGACGAUAAUGACGGUACCUGAGGAGGAAGCCACGGCUAACUACGUGCCAGCCGCCGCCGUAA